AAGAUAGUUUAAUCCACGCGAGUUCAUCUUUUCCUCAAAACUAAGGUAAUUGACUUUGUCAAAUUUCAGUAUGAGCAGCAAAUUACCUGUAUUUCACUGAAAAAAGUAGCACCAAUUUUGAAGGAUUUCAAAUCCAACACUUUAACAAGUUUGAAACUGUCAAAGAUGAAGGAGAUAUCACACAGUCAUGACCAGAUAUCCUGAUCAACUGAGAUUGGCUGCCACGAAUCAAUCUGAUCCUGGUAAGCAUGAAACAAAAUAGAAUUUGUUGAUUGUUUUGAAAUUAUGCUCAUCCGGUUCUUUUCAGUGGGUAAUGCAACACAAUAUUAUACUGUCAUGGAUUGAUGUUGAGGUAUCCUCAACAUGUCCUACUCAAAGAAAUAUUGGAAAUUACCACAUGCCUCCACUAGCAUGAUUCCAGGUCCCUUAUUCAAGGGAACUUUCUUUCUUGAACUGGUCAAAGUUUUGUUAUUUUCACACUGUCUUUCAUUUUGCUAACUCAAAAACUUAAGUAGAUUGCUCAUGAAAGCAAAUGGGGUUCUUAAGUUUUCUAUUAUUUUUCACCUUUACAUGAUUACUAGAAAAGAAAUGGUACCAAGUCCUGUCCUUAAUUCCUCACUGCUUGGGAGUGGUGAAAGAUGUGCAAAACCGAGCUCGACCAGUAUCCACAUAUUAGCUUUGGAUGGCAUAGUAGUCUGACCUCACUCUUUACCAUGGCACCUUAUCUCGGCCUUCCCUCAAAUCCCACCCAGCCAAGUUCUGCAACUAAGCUCUGCAGUGAUGGUCCUGCAGUAGCUAUGGAUCUUCGGACCUUCCCAUACUUAAUUUUUCAGCUCUUUCUGAAUCAGCCCAGAAAGAAGAUAUAAGACAUAAACAUUAAAACCAGCAGUGGUAGUAAAUAAAAGAAUAGUGCUGGUAGUAAAUAAAAGAACAGUGUUCUGUCAGCACAUAUUAACACAAAGAUCCUGGAAGUUAGCAUUUUGCUAUAUGCAGCUGAAUCAACUUUAGGUUGCGUAUACUUGAUUUGGCUUUGGUGGCCUUUGUUCAGCUGAAGGUUGGGAUUUUGAGUUGUCCUAGAUGUAUAACAGGCUCUAUUUUUCCAAUGCUGAUAAAGCUUUGUAUACAUCUAUAGUUUUGCAUGCCUUUAUUUGGUAAGUUACUUAUGUGUGAAUGGAGGUUCCGUCCUAUUUGGAGAAGAUAUUAUGACUUUAGAAAGGAAAUGGAAAAGUAAAGUUUAAAACUUUAUUUCCGAUUUUGUUGCUUUACAUUAUGUGGUUCAAUCAUUGACAAAUUGUUAUUGCCUCACCUUGAAAGGAGAAGUCCAGUAAAGAACUUAAUUUAAAUUGAGAGCAGAAGGUAUUGACUGCUUCAAUUCAUCUAGAAGGGGAUGCUAUCCAGUGGCAUCAAACUUAAAUGAGAUCCAGACAUCAGCAGCACUCUCCAACUUGGGAAGAAUAUGUCUUGGUCUAUUUAACGUUUUGGGGCAGACUUUGAAUACCCUAUGGCUGAGUUGAAGAACCUCAAGCAGACUGGGACUGUCGUGGACUAUAAGAAACAAUUCAAUAGGGUGUUUGCUCGAUUAAACCUACGUAUGGGGUAUAUGCUGUUGUUUUCAUGCUGGUUUAAAUCCUGAAUUGUGCUAUUCUGUUAUGAUGGUUUUAAAUCCACUCACCUCGUCUCAAGCCUAUUGUUAUGCACGUGCACAAAAUUAUAUUCACCAUGUUGCCACAAGUGUCAUAUUGAGAAUGUACUCAAAAGGAUCUACAUGAUAACAGUAAAACGUGUUCAUGCCCAUCCCAAAAUGGUGUCAGCGAGGAUAUUCUUGAAAGUGACGUUCUGAAGGCAAUUUUUCUUCAAAUAUGGCUUCCUAGAAGCAAAAUUAUUGAUCCCAAUUCCCAGGCUUAUAUUGGAGGUUGGUUGAUGCCAAGGGGCAUCCUUUAAUGUUUGAAGCUCUACAGUAGAUGUUCAUAAAGAAUUGAAUGGACAGUGUUAUCGUACUAGUUUUUUUUUUUUCUCUAUAUUGUUAUGAUUUGCAUGUUUGCUUGGAGCUGAGGAUCUACCAGAAACUACCUCUCUACCUGAACAAGGUAGGGGUAAGACUGCGUACAUAAUACCCUCCCCAAAUUCCAUAUUUAUGGGAUAAACUAGGUGUUUUGUUGUUGUUGUUGUUACUGCACUAGUUGCUGGAAAUGGAGUUACUCAAUUGGCAGGCUUCUACAGUGCAGUAAAUAUAUUUGUAAACCCACAUCAGACAUCGUUUGAAGCCAUCUUGAAUGUUGUAAUGGUUACAAACUUGUCAGCAUUACAGGAUCUAUCGCUGUAAACAAAGAGAUAAAGCAGUAUAUGUUUGCGCCUAGAGUAGUUGUGCUUAAUAUUUUGUUUUAUUUUAUUUGAUAAUAGCACUAAAUAACUCUAUUCACCAAGGUCAAGGCAAAAGAGAAAGAAAUCACCUAGCCUAACUAAA
rnacentral:lncRNA from 1 species